UGAGCAAUCUGCCCUUCUCUUCGGAAUAAGCGUUGGAAACGACGUCUAAUGCCGAAUACGACCUCCUUUCGCAUGAUCGGAGGUGGAAAGCUCCGGCGGAGAAGGAUGAGCUCGCGGCCUAUCAGCUAGUUGGUGAGGUAACGGCUCACCAAGGCAACGACGGGUAGCUGGUCUGAGAGGAUGGCCAGCCACAUUGGGACUGAGACACGGCCCAGACCUCUACGGGAGG
rnacentral:rRNA from 1 species